rnacentral:snRNA from 1 species
CCACUUGUUUGGACAAUGCACAUACUAAAAUAGGAAUGAUAUGGAGAUUAAUAUGACCUCUGUGCAAGGAUGACAAGGAAAUUUAUGAUGCAUUUCUUAUUUUG